GUAUUGGUAUAUUGGGGUGUUUUAUAUGUGUUUCUUGUAAUGCUAUUAAAAGAGGUAAGUGUUUUUUAAUGAUUAAUUGAAGUUCGCAGUAAUUGUUAAGGUAUCCGUUCAUAUUCCAUUGUACAAAUUUCAUGGUCAUUUUAAAGGUUGAUUGGAUUUGGUGGAGGAGGUGGGUGAUUUUGUGCCUAUUUGUUGUCUACUGCUGGAUCUGACUUUUUUAUUUUUGUUUGAUUAGCUUUUGUGGGUUUUAGGUUUGAAGAUAGUGUUUUGUUUUUGUCGCUAGAAAAAAUUCGGAGUUUAAGGUCCUGUGUUUUUACGCUUGUCAUAUGUUUUGAGGUGGUGGGAGUGUCGAAAUCCAUGUUGAAUGUGUCUGUGUCCAUGUGUUGGGGUGGUGAUUGGGUUGUUAAUAGAGGUAGUGAAGGUCUUGUGUUGGAUAAGAUGUC